ACUCAAAUGAAUUGACGGGGACUUGCACAAGCGGAGGAUCAUGUGGUUUAAUUCGAUGGUAAACGAAGAACCUUACCAGGGUUGGAAAUCUAGUUGAAGCCGAGCAGAAACGUUCGGCGCCGCAAGGCAAUUAGACAGGUGCUGCAUGGUCGUCGUCAGUUCGUGAUUUGAAUUGUUCCCUUCAGUGGGGUAACGAACGCAACCCUCAUUGCCUGUUACAAGUGUCAGGCGAGACUGCCCAGCUUUUAGUCUGGAAUCAAGCGAAGUUCGCUCGAUUCUCGGUUAGAAGCUGGGAGGAAGGUGAGGAUGACGCCAGAUCAGCAUGGCCCUUUGAUACCCUGGGCUACACACGUGAUACAAUGGCACUUACAACGCGAAGCGACGGGGAAACCCUGAGCAAAUCGUUUAAAGAGUGCCCUAGUUCGGAUAGGAGUCUGCAACUCGACUCCUUGAAGCUGGAUUCGCUAGUAAUCUCGGGUCAGCUAUACCGAGGUGAAUACGUUCUCAAGUCUUGUACACACCGCCCGU
rnacentral:rRNA from 1 species